GCGGAAUUCUGUAGUUUCCAUGCCAUCGCGGUUCACAAAGCUUUAUAAAUCUUUUUUUUAAGUAAUAAAAGUAAAAAAAUAAGUCUAUUUCUUACAUAGAUCGUUUUCUAAUGUUGCACUUAUUUGGAUAACAACAACAAGAUCUUGUAUCAAGUUUAGCAAAAAAAAAAUGUGUUUCGAUUUAUCAACCAAGCUCGUAAAACUGGAUAAUAACAGAAAUAAUAACAGUCUCCCAUCACCAAAUCCGCUUCCAAAUUAGCUUCCAUCAUCGAGCGGUCCUCUCCGGUCUUCAAACAGUUUCGGAGCAGCAAAACACGCCGGAGAACGCCCGAAAGAUCAAGUUCUUACAACUGGCCAAUAACGGAAAUAACAACAGUCUCCCAUCACCAAAUCCGUUUCCGAACGAGCUGCCAUCAUCGAGCUGACCUCUCCAGUCUUCAAAAUGAAUCGUUACGGAGCAGCAAUGUAUGCCGGAGAAUGCCAGGAAGAUCGAGAACCAUAUCACCGGUAAGACGAGGAACCGUAUCGGGAUGCCUUUUGCCCCUCUGGGCAGCGUUGGAUCUGAAGAUUUUUAACAAUAGAGCCAAAAAGAAAACUAUCAUUACGAAGAGCUAGCUGUGUUUGGCGCAGGAGGAAAUCGUGCCCAUCAUUCAACUGCGCUCGCAGUAGAUUAUUGUUCCGAAUGGUCGGUUUGGCGCAAGAGCACGGAAUGUUGUGCCGGGAAAUGCAUUCGGACUUCGCAUUUUGUGCAGAUAAAGUACUGUAACCAGUAUCCAGAUGUCUACAAAUACGACAAUACGGCGAAGGCAACAAAGAGGAGUAAAAAGGUCUGGGACAGAUAGCUGCUGUUUCCUGCAGUCUGUCUGUCAGUCGGGUGGAGCUUAGUCGUCUGUCAGCAGAUAGUGUGCACUUCGACCAUAGGGAAGAUGUAUUCCUGAACACACGUUGCUGAACACAUCCCAACGGAAGCGGAUCGAUGUUUCACCUUUAAUGGCAAUGCGCUGUGGCUGGGUGCGAUUCUGCCAAAGGAUUGCCUCACAAUUAUUAGAUUACCUCCGUCAGCUGUAGGUUUUAUAUGUAAAGGAUGUGAAUAAUUAUUCCACUGGCCGGGUAUAAGUGCCAAUGUGCGUAAUCGUAAUAAGUGCCAAAAUUCAUCGAAAUAAGAGUGGACAAUGAUAAACGAAUGGCGUUAGUACAGUGAUUAUAUUGAAUGUAUAUAUUUUCAAGGCAUGUUAUAUGACUGUUUUAUUCUCGGUUUUAUCUUUGUUUUUUCAAUAAAAUUUUUAAAAAAUC